AGAACCGGGCUCCAGGUGAGAGGUGCCAUCUGUGUCUGAGGGGCAUGGCAAAUGGAACUGUCUCACACAGAAAUCGCACCCGUCACCUUGGGCCGCCUC
rnacentral:pre_miRNA from 1 species